CUGCGAGGAUGACUGUUGAUACGACUGACCUGGCAGUGCCGGCCUCCGGGUCAGCUCUGGCCAGGAAAUGACACCUGUUAAUCUUCUCUCUGAGCAG
ensembl:snoRNA